AAUUUGUGGACAAUGAAAGGCAUCGAGGAUUCUACAUGCUUUGCACGUGACCAUAAUUUUCAGCCCACUCAAAACUUAACCGCCCUUCUACACAAAAUAACCCCUGUAAACUCUCUGAUUCUUUCACAACGAAGCCUAAUUCGCCGCCAACCCUUCUCCAAUAUUCACAUUUCAUCUCUAAAGACAUCGAGAUUCAGUGAAUUCGGCUAGAAAACUGUGAAAAUCGCAUCUCUUCGUCAAUAUCGUCAACUCAAUUCAUGUUGUAGUAACAUCCUUGCUGUUGUUAUCGAUUGAUUUUGCUAGUUUUUUGCUUAUAUCUCACUGAAAUUUCUUUUAUUUAUCUUGAUAUGUGGUUUCUUUUUGUUCAAUUGAAUCUAAAUUUAUUUUAAUGUUGUGUUUUUCUACCGAUUGUUUUGGUUCUUUGGGAUUUAUCGGUUGAAAUUGUGUUACAAUGGGACAGAUAAUUUUUCAAUAUGAAGCUUCUAUGAUGCUCCAAUAUCGUCUAAUUAUAAGAGCUUCAGUCUCCUCCGAUCCACCUCUUGCACAUCGCACAACUUCCGACGCUGCUUGCUACAAUAUCUUGGAGUUAUUAAUUAAGAUAUAUUGAGUCAAAGUUAUCAUUUUAGUUAUCUCAUAAUUGUUCUGAUAGUAUGAUCCUUUGUUUUCGUAUUCCUUGUAACUUAACUAGUAACAGAGAUAUUCCCUCUUCUUUCUUGAUCUGUUGGGUGUUAUUAUCUCUGAAAUUGUGUAGAUUAGGCUUGAAUUUUCUGGGAUUUAACUAAUCAGGUGGUUGUUAGUUUAAUCUUGUGAAGCUGGGGUGAAGAAAGCUUGGGGUGGGUAAGGUGUGAUUGAUAUAGUGGGAAAGUUGAGUUCUUUGGGAAGCAAGUUAAUGGACUUGGGGCUCCAAAUUGAACAAGCAGAAACAACCACUCUCGAAAAAAAUAAAGUGGAAUUUAAAUAUUGUUUACAUGAUUAUUUAGAGUCUUAGAGAUAUAUUGAUGCAUUAUUUAUCCGGUUUGUCUUAGGAAUUAACUUGCAUGAAAACUGCAGUUUAUGGUUGAAAUGCACUGUAAUUGUUCAGACGUUAAUAAGCUUUAUUUAAACUAGAAACUGCAGAAACACCAUGUAGAUGAUUGCCCUCUUUCUAGUUUUAAUUUUUGCGAAAAUGCAAAGCUCCACUAUGAAACAAAUGGCCUACAUGUAUCAUGGAAAUUAGCAGUGAACUUGUAGAUUUUAUUUUGCUGUAUAGUGCAUGCAUUCUUCAAGUGAGGUUUAAUUGCAGCAAAUUAGAAUGAUUGAUACCGAUGAUGACAUUUCUUGGUGCAAUAUUUUUAAUUGGGUUUAGCUUGUAAUAUUGUUCAUUAAGGUAGUGAUAGAAAGUUUUUUUUUAAUUUUUUUUUUUUUUACUGUAUAUUCACUUUAUGUUACAAUCCUUGAAGCUCGAUUUGUUGUAUGGGCGUCGCUUUCACCCUAGAAAGCUACUGUUGUGUAGAAACGAGAAAUUAGGGGUGGGAUUAAUAGUGCAUUGUUAUUUUAUACAACAAAAUGAUGACAUGAGUUAAAUGUGAAAUGUAAAAUGUAAAACGUUACUCCGUAGUAUAUUGAGCUGAGGAGUUGUAGAUUAUCAUGAUCCCUUGCUUGAUCUUUGUUUGAAAUGCUUGAUUUCUCAUACAUUAGAAAUGACUAGGUAUCUUUGUAAACUAUCUCCCUAGUUAGAAAUUUGAUGUCACUCGUAAUUUAGAUUAUAAAUGGUUAAAUAUCUCAAUGGUAUUAUUAGGUAGUGAACUAAGUUUCUUACUCAGGCUGACUUUAUGAACAAUGCACCCAAUGUUCAGCACCCAAUGCGAUAGGAUGCAUUUGGGCUGCCAAUAGAGCAGCAUGCUAUUGAUGUAUGUUUUUAUUUUUAUUUAUUUUAAAUCCUAGGACAUGGCUUUAUCACAUUUUUGUUUACAGUUUCUUUUUGUCACAAACUAUGGCCAUCAGGUUGAAUGUUUUGUGAUAAUAAUUAGGUGAUAAAUAUAUUGUUUUGUGUGUAAAGUUUGGUCUUUGAUAUGAGAACCCGCCGUAAAAAAAACAAAAAAAAGUUUACAGUACCUUUUUGUGUGAAAAGUUUGUCUUUGAUAUGAGAUCCUUGUUUAAGUAUUUUUAUUUUUAUUUUUAUAUUUGGUUUUUGCAAAAUGAGAUUCCAGAGAGAUAGUUUCUUCAUCUGUAAUCAGUCCACAAAUAAAGGAACAAUAUUUCAUCCCUCAUUUGGAAAAGGCUUUAAGUAUCAAUUUGUAAUUUGUUGUGUAUUGAGUUUAGAUAACUAGGCUUAAUCACUCUAAUGGGAUAGAGCAGUUAUAUUUUGAUUCGCUUCCACAAGAUCGAGGUGAUUAGUUUGGUGGAAUUUGAUUGUAUUUGACUGAUAUUUAAAUUUCAAUAUGCUCACUAAUUAACCCUUAUAUUAUUUAUACAUAGAGUUUUUUCUCUAAAUUAAUUAAAUAAGUGUAAUAGUUUUGCUUUUGCUAUGUAGCUUAAUAAACUUAUAGGUGAUUAGGGAGUAGUAAUAUCUGAAACUGAUAUGAAACUUUGCUUUCUAUUUUUUUCUUUGAUGUGAUUUAUUAUUGGUGAUUUCUCAACUUAACUGGGAUGAAUUCAAUUUUCUGAAUAAGAAGAGUUCUUGAUGUUGAUAUUUUUGUUAUUUGCAGAUGAAUUAUUUCAGAUUUAGUGUUAGAUUCUAAAAUACUCAGCUUCAUUAUUUUGGCUGUAUUAAUUUGCAUUUACUGUUCAAAUAUUGCUUUCGUUAUAACUAUGCUGCUUGUUUGGAGUGCUUGCUUGUUCCAAUUGUUUCUGCUCCCUAUGUUCCCAUUAUUGUGAACUGUUAUUAAUUUUGGGUAGUGUUUUGCUUUUGUUUUUGUUUAGACAUGCCAUGAGUAUUACAGCUUGAGGACGGCACUGUUACUGUUACAUGAACUCCAAGAUUUUCCUAACUGAGAGACUGGCUUCUUACAUAGAAUUGUAGGCUGAAAACUCUACUUUGCUGAAGAGCUAUGGAUGCUGAUCAAGCUCCAUCUUGCGUUGUUGCUCCAUAAUAUUGUUGCUAAUGUUGUUAGUCCAUGAUGAUGAGGAUCUACAAACAUCUAAGGGUGUUUUGUGUAUUCAAGGCCAACAAUGAUUCGAAACAAUAUGAACUUUGCUUUACGCCCCUUGCAAGAAGAUUAAGGAGGAGCUAAUUGGAGAUCGAUUGAUUGAAGUUAUUUUUUUUUUUUUUGUUGAAGAAAUGAGCAGAUUUAUUCCACUAGCUAGUACGUACUAGUCAUGAGUGAAGUGUAGGUUGGAAUUAUAUUUCUUGUACUACCUAAUAGCAAACUCAUUACAAUGAGAUAUUGUCCAUGUACUAUAACAUAUUUAUAUGCAAUAACAAAAUUGGCUUAAUUUUGCUGUGUA